rnacentral:rRNA from 1 species
GACGAACGCUGGCGGCGUGGAUUAGGCAUGCAAGUCGAACGGUAGGAUACCUUCGGGUAUCUGAGAGUGGCGAACGGGUGAGUAACACGUAGGUGAUCUACCCUCAAGAUUGGGACAACCCAGGGAAACUUGGGCUAAUACCGGAUGAAAGCAGCAGUGAUGUUGUUUGAAAGGUGGCGUAAGCUGCCGUUUGGGGAUGAGCCUGCGCUCUAUUAGUUAGUUGGCGGGGUAAAGGCCCACCAAGGCGAUGAUAGAUAGGCGGCCUUAACGGGUGGUCGCCCACACUGGGAUUGAGAUACGGCCCAGACUCCUACGGGAGGCAGCAGUCGAGAAUAGUCUACAAUGGCCGAAAGGCUGAUAGUGCGACGCCGCGUGAACGAAGAAGCCUUCGGGUGUAAAGUUCUUUUAUAUGUGAGCAGUGCUUUCUAUGUGAACAGCAUGGGAGAGAGAUAUUAGCAUAUGAAUAAGCAACGGCUAACUCCGUAGCCAGC